UGGGGAAUAUUGGACAAUGGGGGGAACCCUGAUCCAGCCAUGCCGCGUGUGUGAAGAAGGCCUUAUGGUUGUAAAGCACUUUAAGCGAGGAGGAGGGUACUGGUAUUAAUACUACCAGGUACUGGACGUUACUCGCAGAAUAAGCACCGGCUAACUCUGUGCCAGCAGCCGCGGUAAUACAGAGGGUGCGAGCGUUAAUCGGAUUUACUGGGCGUAAAGCGCGCGUAGGUGGUUCGUUAAGUUGAAUGUGAAAGCCCCGGGCUCAACCUGGGAACUGCAUCCAAAACUGGCGGGCUAGAGUAGGGCAGAGGGUGGUGGAAUUUCCUGUGUAGCGGUGAAAUGCGUAGAUAUAGGAAGGAACACCAGUGGCAAAGGCGACCACCUGGGCUCAUACUGACACUGAGGUGCGAAAGCGUGGGGAGCAAACAGG
rnacentral:rRNA from 1 species